CGGCCAUCAGAGCAAAACACGCAUGCUCACGGGCAUUCAGAAGUGCACGUGCUCCGGGGAUAGGAUUUUCCCAACAGGAUCAUGAUAACAUCAGAAUUGUAGCUGGGAGACUCCAACUGAUCGGUGAUCAGCUAAACAACAACUAUGACCGUAAUGUGCAUUUCAUCCCACACGCACUUCAUGCCAUCAGUGAAUUUAUUCAAUCAGAAAAUGCCAUAUUUAUUGGCAAUGUGAUAAGGACUAUGCUUGCAGUGACCAGAAUGACAGCUGGAAUUCAAGCACAGAGAUCAGUGUCUGUUGGGAGGAUGAUGAUCAGAGUGGUAAUCGUGAUUCUGGAAGAGCUGCUUUAUACGUAGGACAAUUACAACUCCCUGGCAUCACUAAAUUCUGCAAGAUUGCACCUACAAAAUGAAGUGAAUACUUUUGGAGUACAGCAUUUCAAUUGAACCGUUGAUUUGUAAUUAACAUGUAGCUGGUUACUCACACAGUGAAAAUCCUGGGGAAAUCACAUGGCAUUUUAGGGCAGUGGACUUAGUGAUUGUAUAGUUGUUGCAGUUUCUGCACUUUUUGUUGAAGCUGAGUGUGCCAAUGUUGGUCUUACUAUUGCAGUGAUAUGAGAUGCUGUAGUAAGUGACAGCAGGUCGGCCUUGUUGAUGUGGAGUUACUGGAGUUUCCACUAUACCAUUCGGUUGAGCCACAGCAGCAGAUUGGAUGUUCAGUUUUCUCAAUUAUUUCCCUGCUGUUGCAGUGGUAAAGAUACUGCAAGCACAAUGGCAGCGUGCCAUCUGAGUCUGUUUCUCAAUCCUCCUUAACUAAUUACAUUGUUAGAAAUCAUCUAGAUUAAGAUGGGAUUUUUGUGAAAUGGCAGUUGUGUUCCAGCAGAGUUAUUACGUGACUUCCCUGCCUAAUUAUACACUGUGUUGUACAGCGAUCUGCCUCAACCAUAGCACCAAAGUUGCAGAGCGCCCUUCCACUUCAGUUGGCCAGUUGUUUGUAAAUGUUCUGCCUCUUGUCUGGUUACAUUAAUUUCCAAAAGGUUUGCAUUAAAUUUCUGGGCAGUGUUUGCUCACUGUGUGAACACAUAGUUUGCUGAGUUCCCAGGACUACACAAGAAUGGGACAACAACCAAAGGGAACAAAAAUAUUUGAGAAGUUUAUUUCAAUGAACAUUUUGAUCAAACAGUAUUUUGAGGAUUAGAGGAUAUCAAAUUUAUUUUAGUUUCACCACACCCUAGUGAUCCCUGGAAAAAGGAAGCUUACUUCAUUCUAAGAUAGUUCAGACUUGGAGUUCAGUUUGCUGUGUUUUAUAUCCAUUUUUAAAUAUUUAGAAGUGGGAAUCUGCCAUAGAAAGAGAUCAAAUUGUCAGUAACAUAAAGCAUAAGCAAUUUAUUCUGUUUACUGUUCUUGAAUUAGAUUCUAGAAGCUGGGCUAUCUUGAAAAUAUGAAAGAAUAUUCAUUUUGUUACCCUGUAGUUUUCUCUUGUAUUGAGUCAAAUGUGUUCAAAGUGUUAAUUAAAAUACUGAAAUCCUGAAACUGGUUCAUUAUUUCUUGGCACACAGUACAGAGAAGGAACUGAAUUUGACAAUUGUGGUCAGUAGUAAUUAAGAUUAUAUCAAUAUAGUAACUAAUAUUGAUGAUUAUGAGAUGAGCAAAGGGUAUGCAGUUCACACUGCCUUAAUACCCAGGUUAAGAAAAGGAUACCAAUAUCAGUCCCUGAUUAAGAAAGUAUUCUCCCAGUUGAGAAUGUUGUAUAACCUUGACUGUAAGCCUUAGAAAAUGAAGUACAAGAUUAUAGUAAAUGAAAAAGUCACAUCAAAGAAUAAUAUCAGGAAACAUCUUAUUUUCCUCAGCAGAUAGGUGUUAGAUGAGUUGGUGGGUAGAUGGUUUAACCAUCAAGGACGCCCACCAU